ACCAGAGGAAGUCCAGAAACACACCAACAGAAGGAAGCGAAAGAAUUACUUCGCACAUCCUGUAAACACAAAAAGUCGUGAUCAAGGCAGGCCUUUCAAGAGAAGACCUGUUCAGUGUAAUUGCAAAAGGAGAUAUUCCCAAUAAGAAUAAAUAGUGAUCCUCCAGACUUAAAAAAAUGGAGGGAUCUUUCUCCAGAGCAUUGGUUAUACCUGUCUGACCGAUGGAGAAAAUCUCAAAAUUUAAUGCGAAGGAACUAUGUCGCCGAGCAUUUCCAGAAUCGGGAACACAAUAAGGCACAGAUCAAAAGGUUUUUACAGAUGAUGCAGUGGAACGUCAACAUGCCAAGGAUACCCGAUAUUCUGAAGAAAAUAGCUUCAUUACGUUAAAAAAAGGACAUAACUGAAGAACCUCAGGUGUUCCAGCGACAAACCAGAAGAAGUCCAGAAACACACCAACAGAAGGAAGCGCUUCAAGAAAUAAGCAAAGACAGUAGUGAAGAGAUGGAAGCGACUGAAAGUAUGGAACAAUACUCUGACGUCACUUUUAAAAGAUAUGUACAUUUAUUAAUUUAUUAUUAAUUAUCUAUGCUUCCUCUGACCCAACAUCCCCCUCUCUCCCCCUCUCUCUCUCCCCCUCUCUCUCUCCCCCUCUCUCUCCACUGUUGAUUGGUCAGCAGAAAUGUAAGUAAUGUUAUUUUUUUUAGGUUUCAAGAAAUAAGCAAAGACAGUAGCGAAGAGAUGAAAGCGACUGAAAGUAUGGAAGAAAUUGACAAUGACAACACGUUAAAGAAUCAGUUUGGACCAGGGAAAACAUCUGAUCACCACAAGUCGGGACAAUAGUGAAGAGAUGGAAGAGACUGAAAACAUGGACACAUUUUGAUUGUAAAUAAUGACAACACGUUAAAGACUAAUUUUUUUCCAGGGACAUCAUCCGAUCGCCAUAAGUGGGGUCAGGGAGGAAUUUUUUCUCCCAGCAUGA